rnacentral:rRNA from 1 species
GACGAACGCUGGCGGCGUGCCUAAUACAUGCAAGUAGAACGCUGAAGAGAGGAGCUUGCUCUUCUUGGAUGAGUUGCGAACGGGUGAGUAACGCGUAGGUAACCUGCCUGGUAGCGGGGGAUAACUAUUGGAAACGAUAGCUAAUACCGCAUAAAAUUGAUUAUUGCAUGAUAAUUAAUUGAAAGAUGCAAUUGCAUCACUACCAGAUGGACCUGCGUUGUAUUAGCUAGUUGGUGAGGUAACGGCUCACCAAGGCGACGAUACAUAGCCGACCUGAGAGGGUGAUCGGCCACACUGGGACUGAGACACGGCCCAGACUCCUACGGGAGGCAGCAGUAGGGAAUCUUCGGCAAUGGGGGGAACCCUGACCGAGCAACGCCGCGUGAGUGAAGAAGGUUUUCGGAUCGUAAAGCUCUGUUGUAAGAGAAGAACGGGUGUGAGAGUGGAAAGUUCACACUGUGACGGUAUCUUACCAGAAAGGGACGGCUAACUACGUGCCAGCAGCCGCGGUAAUACGUAGGUCCCGAGCGUUGUCCGGAUUUAUUGGGCGUAAAGCGAGCGCAGGCGGUUAGAUAAGUCUGAAGUUAAAGGCUGUGGCUUAACCAUAGUAUGCUUUGGAAACUGUUUAACUUGAGUGCAGAAGGGGAGAGUGGAAUUCCAUGUGUAGCGGUGAAAUGCGUAGAUAUAUGGAGGAACACCGGUGGCGAAAGCGGCUCUCUGGUCUGUAACUGACGCUGAGGCUCGAAAGCGUGGGGAGCAAACAGGAUUAGAUACCCUGGUAGUCCACGCCGUAAACGAUGAGUGCUAGGUGUUAGGCCCUUUCCGGGGCUUAGUGCCGCAGCUAACGCAUUAAGCACUCCGCCUGGGGAGUACGACCGCAAGGUUGGAACUCAAAGGAAUUGACGGGGGCCCGCACAAGCGGUGGAGCAUGUGGUUUAAUUCGAAGCAACGCGAAGAACCUUACCAGGUCUUGACAUCCCUCUGACCGCUCUAGAGAUAGAGUUUUCCUUCGGGACAGAGGUGACAGGUGGUGCAUGGUUGUCGUCAGCUCGUGUCGUGAGAUGUUGGGUUAAGCCCCGCAACGAGCGCAACCCCUAUUGUUAGUUGCCAUCAUUCAGUUGGGCACUCUAGCGAGACUGCCGGUAAUAAACCGGAGGAAGGUGGGGAUGACGUCAAAUCAUCAUGCCCCUUAUGACCUGGGCUACACACGUGCUACAAUGGCUGGUACAACGAGUCGCAAGCCGGUGACGGCAAGCUAAUCUCUGAAAGCCAGUCUCAGUUCGGAUUGUAGGCUGCAACUCGCCUACAUGAAGUCGGAAUCGCUAGUAAUCGCGGAUCAGCACGCCGCGGUGAAUACGUUCCCGGGCCU